rnacentral:lncRNA from 1 species
CUCUUAGUAUAAUACAGAUUGCAGUCUUUAAAUAAAUUGGGCUUGAAGCUUCAGGUUCUGAUCCUAGUCCUGAUCGAUUGGAUUGGCUAUCGGGUGUUUUAUACUUCUCUCAUGAAAUGAGAUAUCCAAACUGAUGUACUACGUCGUUCUUGUGUUCGAAAAGAAUGAAAAAAGUACAAUAUUUUUUCUUCAUCUACACAGAAUAUUUUCAAUGUAUAAAAGGUAGCAGAUAAUGGUAUAGAUCCACACACUGUUAAAUAGCAUGGUUUCCAAGACAUUGUUCAUCUACUAUUAGUACAGAAAGCUACUUGAUAUACCAUUCAUCAUAUCUGUUCGUGGUGGAGCAAGAGUUCUUGAAUAAUUGUGGGAUCAAGAAAACGAAAUGAUAACAAACAUAUGUUUGGCACGGUAGAAUAGACAGUAGCGCGCACUUAAUUACUCCCACCUUCAGAUUUCUGUGACCCGGCUUGUAAACCAUUGCAACCUGAGAUUUUAUCAAUAUUUGAAGGUGAUGCUCGAGCUGAAAUGGCUCUCUGCAUGGCUUCUACCAGGCUUUUCACCUUCUUGUCGUCAUUUAUUUUGUGAUUAACACAACUGUUGCUAAUUUCUUUGCUCUCAUGACUUGGUUCAUCUAGGGCUAUAUUGCACUUCUGAAGCCUCUUGUACUUCAUGAUAUGCCACUCUUUUAUUUAAUCUGUUUCGAUCAUAUUUAC